rnacentral:rRNA from 1 species
UACGGGGGGGGCAAGCGUUGUUCGGAAUUACCGGGCGUAAAGGGCUCGUAGGCGGCCAACUAAGUCGGAUGUGAAAUCCCCAGGCUUAACCUGGGAACUGCAUCCGAUACUGGAUGGCUUGAAUCCGGGAGAGGGAUGCAGAAUUCCAGGUGUAGCGGUGAAAUGCGUAGAUAUCUGGAGGAAUACCGGUGGCGAAGGCGGCAUCCUGGACCGGCAUUGACGCUGAGUGAGCGAAAGCUAGGGGAGCAAACGGG